rnacentral:sRNA from 1 species
GCAUGAUCCGCUGGGCCCCCAGCGCAUCUCCUGGAAGAGCCCACUCACCCUGGACGAGCUCUUCGGUAGCCUCAGACCGUCCUUGAAGAGGAUGACUGAGACAUUAUGGGCCACGCGCUGUGUGUCUGCUCUCGGGGAACUGUCAUCAUUGACAAUAAGCGCUACCUCUUCAUCCAGAAACUGGGGGAGGGGUGAGUGUUUGGAAGUCAGUUAACUAGUCCUCAAGUUUAUGGUCAUUGAAGGACAGCGGUGUGCACAUGCUUGGGGCACAAGGGUUUUAUCCCCAUCCCUGUCCUCUCUCACCUGACAGAACCUAGCUACACAGUAUCAAGAAGGUGGAUUCUGGAGCCAGGCCUCCUAAAUCCACCUCGUGUGACCUUGAUAAACCAUGUUUUUUUCAUCAGCUUAAUGGAGAUGAUUAUUAUCCCUCACUGAUGGAGUUGUGAGGAUUAAAUGAGAUAAUGUGUAUAAAAUGUCUCACCCAAUGCCUGGUUGACAAGUACUUGAUAAGUGUUGGCUAUUAUUUAUUUAGCAUCUGUCAAGUGCAGAGGUCUCUAUUACGACCAUAGGACCUCAAAGAUUUCUAUAUCUCUGCUCCUGAGGAGCUCACGGUGUAAUAUUCUUCAGAUUUCUCUUAGAGCCACAUCUUGGGAAGGUUUCUGCUAAAUGGGAAGGACACCCCACUCACCACCAGGAAAUUUCUCUAGGUCCAAGCCAUGUGGGAGAUGACCAUGGCCCUUUAUUGACCCCUUUGGCCCACAGCGGGUUCAGCUAUGUGGACCUAGUGGAAGGGUUACAUGAUGGACACUUCUACGCCCUGAAGCGAAUCCUGUGUCACGAGCAGCAGGACCGGGAGGAGGCCCAGCGAGAAGCCGACAUGCAUCGCCUCUUCAAUCACCCCAACAUCCUUCGCCUCGUGGCUUACUGUCUGAGGGAACGGGGUGCUAAGCAUGAGGCCUGGCUGCUGCUACCAUUCUUCAAGAGAGGUACGCUGUGGAAUGAGAUAGAAAGGCUGAAGGACAAAGGCAACUUCCUGACCGAGGAUCAAAUCCUUUGGCUGCUGCUGGGGAUCUGCAGAGGCCUUGAGGCCAUUCAUGCCAAGGGUUAUGCCCACAGGGACUUGAAGCCCACCAAUAUAUUGCUUGGAGAUGAGGGGCAGCCAGUUUUAAUGGACUUGGGUUCCAUGAAUCAAGCAUGCAUCCAUGUGGAGGGCUCUCGCCAGGCUCUGACCCUGCAGGACUGGGCAGCCCAGCGGUGCACCAUCUCCUACCGAGCCCCAGAGCUCUUCUCUGUGCCGAGUCACUGUGUCAUCGAUGAGCGGACUGAUGUCUGGUCCCUAGGCUGCGUGCUAUAUGCCAUGAUGUUUGGGGAAGGCCCUUAUGACAUGGUGUUCCAAAAGGGUGACAGUGUGGCCCUUGCUGUGCAGAACCAACUCAGCAUCCCACAAAGCCCCAGGCAUUCUUCAGCAUUGCGGCAGCUCCUGAACUCGAUGAUGACCGUGGACCCGCAUCAGCGUCCUCACAUUCCUCUCCUCCUCAGUCAGCUGGAGGCGCUGCAGCCCCCAGCUCCUGGCCAACAUACUACCCAAAUCUGAAAAAGCAGCAUGUUGAGAAGAUGGCCCCUUGUGCCUUGGAAAGAGGUUCCCAUCCCUCAUUGGAAUCGCCACCCAUUCCAUCCAGGACUUCUCUUACACUUGGGGGUAGCGGGGUCAGGACAAUCAUCUCAGUCCUGCAUCUUUUCUUCUGCUUUCUUCCCUCCAAGAGCAAAACCUGGGCAAGGGGACUUACUGAGUGGGGGUGGGUGGGGGUUGGGAAAAGGGAAACUGGUGGGAUAUGGAACAUGGCUCUGAGCAGGACUGUUGAGCUCACAUAGUGUUCUGACUCCAAAUCUGGGAGCAGGAGAAUGUGUAAACAAGAAUAAAGUGGAAGCA